rnacentral:lncRNA from 1 species
CACAACUAAAAAAUACAUAUUCUUCUAUUACAAUGAAGUGGGUAAAAUAUAGCCACUUUUGCUAUAAGUAAUAAUUUUGAAAAAGUGUUGCUAUUUAUUGUAAUUAUAGUCUUAAGGAUGCUAGUUUCUAUAAUUUUUCCUAACAUUUAUAUGUUACCAAACAGAUUGCCUUUGAAAAUAAAAAAGAGCUGUUUAACAUCGAGAUUGAUUUUAUAUUACAAAAGGUGGUGAUACAAUAAGACAUUGAAAUUAAUGACUGUCAAAACUAAGUAAAACACGUCCUAUAGCACGUCACAAUUAAAUUAGACUGUAAGUUAAUUGAUUAUCCUUUAAAGCAUGCUUUCUAUGUGACCACGCAAAUUUAUUGUUAGUCCUAGAUUAUUCUUUUUGCCUAGGUGAUUCACGUAGUACAAAAAUCCCCGCUCCAAGCAGUCCCAUAAAUAUUAUUAUAUCAGUGUUUGUACAAUAAGUUACAGACCAACAAUGAAUGAAUUAAAUGAAAGACUAAGAAGGGCUAGAUUGGAUAGCCCUCAACGACCCUCAAAUUCAUGGCAACUCUUAUCUUGUUGAACCGUUUGUCUUUAAUCUGUGAGCACAAGAAAAACACAAAAACACAUCCCGAAUUCGAAAUAUAUCUUUGGCAACACAAAACCAGCCCUUGGCACUGUCGAGAUCUUAAGGAUCUCCGGGAUCCUCGGCACGCUCACGCCAAAGGGGUUAUGUGUGGCGUAAAGAUUAUUUCAGAUUCACAAAAAACAAAAAUUCUAGUGGGAAAAACAUUUAACAGCGGGAGAAAACAUGCCAUAUUAACAAAAGCAAAUAACAUGACCAUCCCAAUAAGUUACAAAAUAAUUGCACAAAAAUAAAUAUAAGGCUCAUGUCAUCAAACAUUUAAAGUAAGUAAAUCAAAGUCAUAGUAAUGUAUAACAUAAAAAGAAACUUAAUUCAUCGUUCAAGACAACUAACCGAUUAACAGCACAAUAAUAAAAGAAUAUUGGAUGUUCAAAAGUGGAUAACAGUCGUACGAGCAAACGAGGACCAGCAAUCCCAAAGUAAAAGCAACAAAUAAAAUUAGAGUUGCUUAUAUAGACAAAGGGGUUAUGAAAAUAAAGAAAGCAAUCAGUCAAAAUAUUUUCCUUAAAAAGAUUGAAUCAAUAAGGAUAUAAAAAGGAUAAAUUUACCAUAAACACUUGUAUCAAUCAAUAAUGAUAGAUUAGACAAAAUUCAGUGAAGGCAAUAAAAGAAAAAUAAAUAUUCAAUGCAAUAGAGAUUUUCUCUAAACAUAAGAUAAGUUAAAAAUCAAUCACUCCAAACUUCCUUUCCAGCCUAGGAAGUAAUUUAAGGAAGUCAUUAUUCAAUACAAACUUCAGCCGAAAAUAAAGGAAACGAAGAAAUCACAAGAAUGUAAAAUCCUAAAAUAUCCAAACAGAUCAUGUUCAAAUUAUUAAUAAAGAAGGAAGUGAAUGAGUAGACAGACCCCAGAAAUGCAAGAUUUGCCAACAACUGAACAACCUAUAUUUUUCCUGUUAAAAGGAAUAAUGACCUUGGACAGUCAAGCCGUGAGUAGUAAAGACAUAAUCACGUGAAUGUCGAAAUUAAGCAAUAGUCAUAUAAACAACAAACACGAUCACACUAGUCCACGCAGAAAGGAGCAUAUCCCGAAAAAUCACACGAAUCACUAGGGUUAAAAACAAACACAUGCUCGUAAAAAUUGGACAUUUUACAUAUGAUAUUCUAAGCAACUUAAUGAACACAAAUCACAACGAAUCGCACAAAAGGUAUUAACCAAUUUUUACUAAUUUCAUAAUUGUAAUUGCGCAUAAAAAAACAUACGAAAUCAAACUUGGGAUGGAUUCAUAAGAAUCCAUCAUUUCUCCGGCAUUAUGAUCGGAGCUCGGAGGCAGCGAGGUUACGGUUGCUGUUGUUCACGACUGCUGCUGCUCCGGUGGAAGGCGGCGACGGAGGAGAGGAUAACGGAGGGAGGAGGGACGCCGACAAGGUGGCUGGUUUCGCUGGGAUCCGGCUGGUGGCGGCUUUUGGGGUUUUUAAGAGAGGAAGUGAUCUGGAGGCGCUUCUCGGAGGAGAAGAAGUUGGUGGCGGCGAGGGUUGUUCGUCGUUUCGUCGGUUGGCGGCAGGGACUGGUCGGAGAGAGAAUGGAGGCAGCGUUGGUGGAUGGUUCCGCCUUCUAGAGCGGCAGAUGGCUAAUUGUUGGUGGAGCUUUGUUCGACGGUAAGGGACGACGGAGGGAUGGGGGAUCGGCAGCGGCGCUGGUUGCUGCGUCGCCGGAGAGGAGAGAGGGAUAGCUAGAGAGAGAAGAUAGGGGGGUGACGGAUGUUUUGUGAAAAAAAAAGUUGAGUUGUGGCUUUUGUUUAAAAGGAAAGAAGUGGGUGAUGGGAUCUCAGCUGUUUGAUCAAUUUUGAUCAAUGAUUGAAAUUAAAAUUAUUUUAAAAAGGGUAAAAAGUGAAAUAAUAUUAAUUUGGAUUAAACUUGGCAUAAAUUGAAUAAAAAUGGCUAGAAUUUGAAUAAACUAGGAAAAUUAAUUUAAGUUAGCUGCCGUUUUUAAUAAAUGUGAUAAUGAUGAAAAAUAAUAAGACGUCGAUAUCAAAAUAAACUAAG